ensembl:rRNA 5S_rRNA 5S ribosomal RNA
GUCCACGGCCAUACCACCCUGAACGCGCCCGAUCUCGUCUGAUCUCGGAAGCUAAGCAGGGCCGGGCCUGGUUAGUACUUGGAUGGGAGAAUCCACCUGCCAGCACUGUUUACGAUAGCCA